rnacentral:rRNA from 1 species
GUAAAGCGUGCGCAGGCGGUUAUGUAAGACAGAUGUGAAAUCCCCGGGCUCAACCUGGGAACUGCAUUAGUGACUGCAUAGCUGGAGUACGGCAGAGGGGGAUGGAAUUCCGCGUGUAGCAGUGAAAUGCGUAGAUAUGCGGAGGAACACCGAUGGCGAAGGCAAUCCCCUGGGCCUGUACUGACGCUCAUGCACGAAAGCGUGGGGAGCAAACAGGAUUAGAUACUAGU